GCUCAGUUGGUUGAGUGUCUAACACUUAAUUUUGACUCAGGUCAUGAUCUCAUGGUUUCGUGGGUACAAGCCCCACAAUGGGCU
rnacentral:tRNA from 1 species